AUGGGGGAUCAGCAGUUGUACAAGAGCAACCAUGUGACCCACGGUGGUGAGAACCUUUUCUACCAACAGCCACCCCUUGGUGUCCACGGUGGGCUGAACCACAACUAUGGGAAUUCAGUCGCAGCGGGUGGAAUGGAUGCCCCUCAAGCUUCGCCCAUCUCCCCCCACUUUCCUCAAGAUACUCGGGAUGGUCUGAGCUUGCCUGUUAGCUCCAAAAACCUUGGCCAAAUAGAUACCUCGAGACAGGGAGGAUGGGGAGGCCACGCAGGACCUGGUAACCAUGUCCAGCUCCGUGGCAACCUGACCAACUCCAACAUGAUGUGGGGGGCGCCGGCCCAGGUGGAGCCAGCUGAUGGCUAUCAGUACACCUACUCCCAGGCCAGUGAGAUCCGGACCCAGAAGCUCACCAGCGGCGUGUUACACAAGCUGGACUCCUUCACCCAGGUGUUUGCCAACCAAAACCUGCGAAUCCAGGUCAACAACAUGGCCCAGGUGCUGCACACCCAGUCGGCAGUGAUGGAUGGAGCCCCUGACAGUGCCCUCCGCCAGCUGCUGUCUCAGAAGCCCAUGGAGCCCCCAGCAGCUGCUCUGCCCUCCCGCUACCAGCAGGUGCCCCAGCAGCCUCACCCUGGUUUCACAGGUGAGCUGUCCAAGCCGGCCCUGCAGGUCGGGCAGCACCCUGCCCAAGGGCACCUGUAUUAUGACUACCAGCAGCCCCUGGGCCAGAUGCCGAUGCAGGGAGGACAGCCGCUGCAGGGCCCCUCGGUGCUGUCCCAGCCCGUGCCACAGAUGCAGCACCAGUAUUAUCCACAGCAGCCACAGCAGCAAGCGGGACAGCAGCGUCUCUCCAUGCAGGAAAUGCAGCCGCAGCCUCCGCAGCAGCUCACCCGCCCGCCUCAGCCUCAGCCUCAGCAGCUGCCGCGGCAAGGUCCAAUGCAGAUACCUCAGUAUUAUCAGCCCCAGCCUAUGAUGCAACACUUGCAAGAGCAGCAGCAGCCAUCGGUGCACCUGCAGCCCCCAUCUUAUCACAGGGACCCCUACCAGUACACCCCGGAGCAGGCACACGCAGUCCAGCUGAUUCAGCUGGGCUCCAUGGCCCCCUACUACUACCAGGAGCCCCAACAGCCCUACAGCCAUCCCCUCUACCAGCAGAGCCACCUGGCCCAGCACCAGCCGCGUGAAGACAGUCAGCUGAAGACUUACUCCAGCGACAGGCAGGCCCCAGCCCUGCUGAGCUCCCACGGGGACCUGGCACCUCCUGAUACCGGAAUGGGAGACUCGGCCAGCUCGGACCUGACCCGGGUAGGCAGUGCCCUCCCCCACCGCCCUCUCCUGUCCCCCACGAGUGGGAUCCAUCUCAACAACACGGACCCUCAGCAUCCACAGCCGUCUCCCAGUGCCAUCUGGCCUCAGAUGCACCUACCUGAUGGGAGAGCCCAGCCAGGGUCCCCUGAGUCAAGUGGCCAACCCAAAGGAGUGUUUGGGGAGCAGUUCGAUGCCAAGAACAAGCUGACAUGCCCCAUCUGCCUGAAGGAGUUCAAGAGCCUGCCCGCCCUCAAUGGCCACAUGCGGUCCCACGGGGGAAUGAGGGCCUCCCCCAGCCUCAAACAGGUUAGCAGGCACCCCACCCCACCCCCGUCCCGUCCCGUCCUUCCCAGGCCAUGUGCUGCUUGCUUUGCUUUGCCGCCAUCAGACACGGGUGACACAGAGGAAUGUGAGACUGAAAAGCCUAUACUAGGACACUGGGAGAAGCCAGGCCUGAAGCCCCCUCUUCCCUGGCCUUGUGGACAAGGGCCAAAAAUGGGUGCUAGAAAUCCUUUUAGGGGAUCCCAGUCUUCCUCCUGGAGAAGACAGCCAAAGAAAACAUGUAAAUGCAGUACCCUUUUUAACUUGUGUUGCUUGAAACCCCCCUCCCCCAGCCAUGGUCCUUGAGCCUUCAAGGUCAGCAGUUGGUGACCAAGGAAAGCACAAGUAACCGACAGGCUCUCGGCCAGAACCCUCUGCUCACUAUUGUGAUGGUGUUCAGCUGCAACAUCCAGCGUCCCUUAAUCACUCUGGAUUAUCCAGGGCAGCUGUCCAGGUAGCAAACUGUCCAUGAGUUUUUGAGUUAGAUUAAAAUUCUCAGAAUUCCUUGCACAUUGUUGAUCCUAAUCUAAAUCUAAGGGAUUAACUCUGUCCACCAAAAUCUUGGAUUACCUGGAUCUCUCCAUCUCCUGGCCAUGCCAGAUCAAAGAGCUUUGUCUUCAUUUCAAACAAACAAACAAACAAAAUAUGAUUUGCAUUUUCAGUGUGGUUUCUUAACCUGGAUAAAAUUGAGGAUGGAAACCAGGCAUAGUAGUGCACACUUAUAAUGUCAGCACUCUGAGAGGCUGAGGCAGGAGGAUUGCGAACUGGAGCCUAGGAUAGGCAAUUAGUGACUUAGUGAGACCCUGACUCAAAAUAAAAAAUAAAAAAGGCUGGGGAUGUAGCUCAGUGCAAAAGCCCUGGGUUCAAUCCCAGUACCAGAAAAAAAAAUUAGAAUGGAAUGCCUAAUUCCAUUCGAUGCAUGUGUGAACUGAGGCCCACAGAAUUAGAAGGUCCUACAUAAGAUCACACACUUUAUCUUGACAGACUAUAAGUCCAUGUCCUUUUCUUUCGAAACAAUGACAACUCCAAAUUUUAAAAAUAUUUCAAUAUGUAAGUGAUACAUGGUCAAGAUGCGUCCAUGAGGAAACAGAACGCAUGGCCUUGUCUACAACCCAUCAGCACCACUCAGGAUGGGGACCCAGGUUACAGGAAGGAUGUCACCGGCAGUGGUUCUCUGUCACCCACGCCUGAUGUCCUGCAACCUUUCAGGAAAAGCGAAAUGCAUUCCCCUCGGGAGAGCUGCGCUCAGCCCAGGGUCAAAGCUUUCAUUGUCUGUGUAGGAGGAAGGAGAGAAGGCCCCGCCGCCUCAGCCCCAGCCUCAGCCCCAGCAGCCACUGCCGCCUCCACCUCCGCCUCCGCCGCAGCUCCCUCCCGAGGCAGAAAGCCUCACACCUAUGGUCAUGCCCGUGUCUGUCCCUGUCAAGCUUCUCCCGCCCAAGCCCAGCUCUCAGGGGUUCGCCAACAGCAUCGCUGCCGCCCCCUCCGCCAGAGACAAGCCGGCCAGCUCUGCAUCGGAUGACGAGAUGCCUGUGCUCGUGAGGAUGACCCUCUCUCCCCCACACUCUCCCCAAGGGGCUGCCCCCCGCGCUCCCGCUGUGAGUCGCUGCUCUGCCCCCCUGCCUGGGGCGGGGACAUCCCUUUGCUUUCUCAGAGAUAGGGACAGUUCUUCCAGGGUCACUGGCCAGAGCUCAGCCAUGGCCCAGCCCCCUUGGCCACCUGUCCACUGCCUGCUGCAUUCUGGUUACUCUUGCAGGCUGAUGGCUUGGCUUGGAUUCUGGACACCUCGUGGUGUCCCCAGGUUAGGACAGAGGAUGGCUCAGCCAGCUGUCACUGAUUCAGCCAUACCAGUGAUUCAGAUGCGGAAGUACUUCUGCUCCGGACAUGAACAGCCAUUGCCCAGGGUUCCCUAGGACCUCCAGGCCCCUUCAAACAUGGCCAUCAAACAGGUCACCCCGGCAAAGUGAUGUUUAUCACUCAUUGUUAAAUUCUUCUUCCUUGCCUGACUGCCCAUCUCACCCCACUCUGCCCUUCCCCGGGGAACCUGUGCCUGCAUGGUGGGCUGUAUCAGACUCAUCCCACCCCACAGCCUCCCGUUUCGAUCUUGUUUGUCCUUAGAGAAGAGGCGGCGUAAGGGAAAGUGUGGGCCAGAAGAGGCCAGGGAGGAUGAUUAAGAGAACCAGAAAAGUCAGGAAGAACCAUUUUGGUUCCUGUUGCUAUCAAGGACUCAGAAAAGGAGAGACUGAUGGGAACCUGGAGAGGAAGAGUCUCACGAGCUGGCAGGAGACCAGUGACAGACAGAGAGGAGCCCACAUGCCCAGGUCCCCCUCGGCCCAGGGUGGCGCCUGAUGUCCUAGGAGGAACAGUGUCUGCCCCGGGAGAACUCUCAAUCAGAGUUCCUAGUCAUGCAGGGCCACAGCCCAGGCAGCACACACCCCGCCCCAGACACUCAGGGUGGUAAGAGAAAGAUGAGAGCAGAGGAAAGAGAGAGGAGAGGAUCUAGAAAGAACCCUUGAAUUCUAGCCUCAGCUGUGCCCCUAGCCAGGUGGGACGAAGACAGCUGAGAUGCUCCCCCCUCCAGCCUCCCUUUCCUCCCUUUCCCUGAGGCCUGGACUCCUCUGUGGUGGGAGCUGUAAAGGGCUCGACUCCUGGCCCGGCCCCAGAGUCUAGCUGCCCCCUGGGGAGACCCUAUGAUGGCACCUGUCCCGUGGACAUUCGGAGUGCUGUCUGCCCAGGUAGCUCACAGCCUCACCAGCAGGAUCAGGCAAUCUUGUGAGGAGCUGGAGGAACAGGACUCAAGGGCACAGGAGGGAGAGCCCAGAGGGGCUGUGGCCCCUGGGCUUAGCAGUCAAGUUUGCAGGACACAGGAUCCUGUGAGGCACCUGUGCCUGGAUGGCCAUCAGGGACCUGGAGCAGCUUAACUUUAAGGGCUGCACCCUACAGGGCAUUGCCUCCUUCCCCCACCUCGGCUUCUCCCCCACCUCGGCCUCUCUUCCCCACCUCGGCCUCUCUUCCCCACCUCGGCCUCUCCCACUUCAGCCUCUCUUCCCCACUUCGGCCUCUCCCACCUCUGCCUCUCUCUCCACCACAAGGGCCCUGAGCUGCGGGCCUCAGGUGGGCGUCACGUGGGUAUGUGUGCUGUCACGUGGCCGCCCUUCCCGUCGACCCCCGCGAGGCCCCUGGCUGAGCAGCACACUGACCCAGUGUCCCGUGGCCUCAGCAGCGCCCCUGCGUGUCUUGGUGUCUGUCACGCGCGAGGCAGGUGUCACCAGACCAAGUGGUGACAGGGAGGCAACCGAGAGGUGCGGGCCCACACUAGGAUCCCUGUGCCUUUCCAAGGGCGCGGGUCCCCUCAGCGGGGCUCCUGUCACUCAGGUGUGGCGACAGUAGAGGAACCCAAAGCCGCGCCCCAAACCCGGGCGGGGCGGGGGGCGGCUCUGUUCCCACCCGAACCCUGGGGACAGCGGCCCCGUGGAACCCGCACUCUCCCCACAGGACGCGCCCCGGAGGCCGCCGCGCGCCGAAGAGCCCCGCGCCACUGAGAGGAGGAAGCCGCGGCCCCGGCCCGAGCCGCUCUUCAUCCCGCCGCCGCCCGCCUGCGCCCCAGGGCCCGUUGUGGGUGCCACCGCCACGCUCUUCCAGAGCCAGCUGCGCUCGCCACGCGUCCUCGGGGACCCGCUGCUCCUGGCCCCCGCGCGCGACCGCGAGCCCCCGCCCUACACACCGCCGCCCAUGCUGAGCCCGGCGCGCCAGGGCUCGGGGCUCUUCAGCAGCGUGCUCCUGGGUGGCCACCUGGGCGGCCCGGGGGCGCCCCCGGCCCUGCCGCGCACCCCGCUCACGCCCACGCCGCGCGUGCUGCUCUGCCGCCUCAGUGAGUGGCCAGGACGCGGGGGGGUGGGAGGUUCCCAGCCACCCACCGGCAGGCUGGCUUUCGUCGGGUAUCUAGGGGUAGCAGGUGCAGACCGCUGCGCAGAAACAGAGCUGGUUCUCAGCCUUAAGGAAUCCCAGGGACAGGGUGGAGCCUGCUCUCGAUAUCUAAAAUAUCUAAGAUGCGUUGGUAACACUCCCAAGAAAUGCAUUUAGAGGGCCGGGGAUUUAGCUCAGUGGCACGGCGCCUGCCUGGAAAGCAAAAGAUCCUGAGUUUGAGCCCCGGUACUGAAAAAAAAAGAAAUGCCGGGGUAUAUUCAGGCCUUGACGUUUUAGCGUGCUUCCUAAAAAUCCAGCAUGAAACUUGGGCCUGGUGGUGCUGAAGUCUUGUACUUCCAGCUCUCAGGAGGUUGAGGCAGGAGGAUCUCGAGUGUGAUCAGCUUAUUCAGACCCUAUUUCCAAUUUUUCUUUAAAAUAAUAAAAAUAAAAGAGCUGGAGAUGGAGCUCAAUGUAAAGUCCCUGGGUUCAGUCCCCAGCACUGCCAAAAAUAAAAUAAAA
rnacentral:lncRNA from 1 species